ensembl:lncRNA
GAAACACAGUGCACUAAUUGGUCUAUCACAGCCUCAUCUAUAUCAGUUUGUAUUUGCUCUACUGUCUGCUGACUGUUUGGAUACAUCUCACAAAAUGCUACAAGAUGUUCUGCUCUCUAAGAAGCGUACACUGUGCUUGGAUUCAAACAAUUUGAUUUUCUUGAGACAAGAAAAAACACUAAGUGUCACAAGUAACUGCAACAGCACUGCAGAAUACGUCUAACCUUAGAGUAACUAGAAGGCUGCAUUCUCCAAUGAACAAAAAAUCCACCUAAAUAAAGGAAAAACCCUGAGAUUCAUGGUUGAUGUUACAUUGAUCAUCGCUAGGAUAGAGCAAACCAAGUAUAGUGUGAAGAGACUUUCUAUCCUGUCAGCUGCUAAAGGUGCAUAAUGUCCUGAUAUGCUAGUGCAAAAGGAAUGGAUGACAUUUUUUGCAGCUCCAGUGAAGAGCCUUGAACUGUUUCCAGGAACAACACUUGAGGUUGUAUAGAAGAAGGUAUUGGUGUCCUUGAGGUUCUACAGACACAUCCAGUUCAGCUGUUUCUACCUGUUGGAAUGAGUUCAGAGGAAACCACAAGGAUACUCGGAGUGUUGCAGCACCUCUCCUAACAAGACAGACUAAAGAAAGCUGGACUGGUUCAGUAUAGAGAAGAGAAGGCUCCAGGGAGAUCUCAUACUGGCCUUUCAGUACCUAAAGGGGGCCCACAGGAAAUAUGGGGAAGGACUUUUCGAUGGGGGAGUAUAGUGAUAGGGCAAGAGAUAAUGUCUUUAAACUAAGAUAGGAAGGUUUAGAUUAGAUUUAAGGAAGAAAUUGUUCACUGUGUGUGUGGUGAGGCCCUGGCAUAGGCUGCCCAGAGAGAUGCCCCAUCCCUGGAGGUGUUCAAGGCCAGGCUGGUGAGGCUCUGAGCAAUCUGAUCAAAUGGGUGAUGUCCCUGCCCAUAGCAGGGGGUUUGCAACAAUAUAAUCUUUAACAAUGACAAUACAACCUUCCAACCUCUACCUUGCAUAUUCUAUAACGAUUCUAUGAUACGGUUGUGGGUAUUAUGAAUUUCAGCACAGUGGACAUGAAGGAAACAGAUGUUAGCUGAUGUAACGAGUUCACAUAGGAGAUAUAAAACGUAAUAAAUUUAUAAGACAAUAGCUAGCCAUCAAGAAUUCUGUGUGGACCCUUAGUUAGCUUUAAGAUUAUUUGAAGUAGCUUAGCCUACUUCAGAAAUGGAGCAAAUUAUUCUACAAGAAGCAUGUUAUACCAGUAACUACAUAGGUAGCUAUUCUAGAUCAGUACAAUAAAUAAAUAAAUAAAUAAAUAAAUAAAUAAAUUUGCAUGCAGGAAACAAAACUUGAAAAAAAAGACAAUAAUAAAUCCCACUAGAGCCUACAUACCUGUGACCAAAAAAUAAAAAUAAAAAUAAAAAUAAAAAAAUAAAAAAAAUCCCCACCAAAAAACAAUACAAAACAACAAAUGAGAUCCAGAAGGCAAAAAGUAAAUGAAUAUAAUCCAGCAUCAAGUCAUAUGAGGUUACUUUAUCUAAAUGUAUCUCCAGUGAACAUAAUUGGAAGCAGCAUAAAUCUCUGCAGGCUAUUAUAAAUUAAGAUGGCUGAAAUGAUUUUAAAUAGCCAAAGGUAUAAAACAGACUGAAGACUCUAUUUCUUGAUGAAACUCAAUAUUUUGGAAAGGAAUCAGUGAAUCAGCUGGGAUACCAAGAUUUUAAAGUUGUAGACAGACAAGAAUUCAGGGCUUGCCUUUUUCAAAGGAUGAAUUCUAGUUCAGGGAUAUUUGGACUGAAAAUCAUAUUUUAUAUUCACAGAAAUUUCACUGACACUUACUAUUAUCCUACUUUAUGUGAAAGUUUUUUGUUGCAUUCAGAAUUGGGGGGAGAUCACGGUUGUGGGCAGGAUCUCCCAUAGAACUCUUUCCAACCACAGCUGGUUUUUAUUGCCAAUGGAAAGAGGACAUCAGACACAAUGAAUUUUGGCACAGGUGAAGGUUAAUAAAUCUCUUGGUGAGAGACAGCUAAUGCAUCACAAAAAAUACUAAGGAAAAAUUUAGAUAUUAAUAAGCUACCUGAUCUAAAAGGUGUACUUCGUAGUCAAAGAUUCAUACAUAAGCAUGAAAUUAAUGAUUAAUAGAGCAUAAAAUAACAUCUAUAUUGAAAAAAUACAGAGUACUCUGGAAAAAAAAUAAUCAAAGUUAUGAAAUACUGUAUAUUUAGGAUUGGAUUUUUAUUUUUUUACUUUUAUUUUUAAUAAAAUGAUAAAUGGAACAGAACUGAAUGAUAAAUCAAAAGAAAGCUUGAUAUAGGAAAGAAGCUUAGUAAACGUGGCAGCAGAUACAUUUGCCUCAAAGAGACAAUACUGCUACUUUACAUGGCAUUUGCUAUCUAAAGUCUCCUCAAGUCAUCUGUCCAAGCAAGAAUAACAAAUACAUGUUUUGCCCUUUUUGGAUUACAUCAGUAUGAUGCAGCUGCUGCCUCAGAUGGAGAAAGAAUCAUUCUCCUCAAGUAAGAAAUAAUUAAGUAAGGGUGAAUGCCAAAAGUCGGAUAGCUUUUAAAUUGAAAGCUCUAAACACUGCAGACAGCCCUGGAUAUGAGAUUAUUUUUACUAUUUGAAGUACUAGUAAGAGCCUUUUUCUGUAUUCUGUAUAAGAACCUUGCUAAAAUACAAGGUAAUGAUACAUAUGCUCUGAAUAUUUUUAAUUAACAUUUUAAUAAAACUAGCAGAAACAAUGCAGGAUUAAAGCAGAAAAAAAAUCAUAAACUAAACUUUACGUUGCAAAAUUGUGUGGCUCUCAUACUAUGGGAUUUGGGUUUUAUUGCCUUAGUGAUAUAUAUUUCUCAUAAGUAAUGCUAUUUUCUUAAAAAAAAAAAAAAAAAAAAAGUAGUUAGGUUUGAGUGAUCUAAAGGUUAUCUCACUGCUGAACAGAGUUAUCAGUGAGAAAUAAAUAUCCAGAACAGACAAACAGCUAAAUCCCCUAAUCACUUAAGUAAAGGAAUUAGUAAAGGAAUUUCCUCGCUAUCAAUCUGAAGAACUGGUGCUAUCAUCAGAACUUAUAUGUUUUCCUUUUCAAAUUGCAAAUUUUCACAAACACUUUGAAACACUGGCAAUUAACGAACUCCACAUGGUCAGUGAUUGUGGCCAUAAGCGUUUGUAAGUAGCCAAUUUUCAUAAAGAAAACGCGAAAUGAAUGGUGUAAUGAAUUAGGUAUGAAUAAUGGCUCACUUUUUUACUUAUGCUGGCAUCAAUAUUAUUCAUGUAUAUGGGAAAACUGAACCCUUAUUCUCUUCACCUGGAAAUAUGCUCAAGUAAUAGACUUGUAUUAAAAUGUUCAGUUCUUAUUAUAAAUCAGUCAGACACAAACAUGCCUAAUGAUGUCAAAAGCAUUUAUUUUUCCUCUUUACAAAUUUUCUUCAGACAGCACUUCUUUUUAUUAUUAUUUUUAAAUUGUAAUGAAUCUGAUAUCUAGAAUUGAAAUGUAUUCCCCAAAUAUGCUGAAAUUAUACAUGACUUAGUUGCUCUUUAUAAUGAACAUUCAGUUGAUUUCUCUUAUGUUCAACAUCUGUUAUUGUUCCAGCUUUUGUAAUUCUGGUGUCCUAUAGUUAAAAGAUUGAUUGUCCCAUAUGGAAGGCAUGCACAUAAAAAUAAACGAAUGUUGAAAUAAUUAAUAACAAUCAAAAAGGUUUUAUGUAACUUUUAUUUAACUCCUCCAAAGAAAGAAGAAAUAAAUAUUUUAGCUGACAAAAAAUACUUCAGUAAGUAUAAUAGACUUCGGCAACACGUUACCUAAUCUUCAGAAUCCCAGUGGGUAAAAUAAACAUUUCAAAUCCAAGUAGAAGUCAACGCA